AUUGAACGCUGGCGGCAUGCCUUACACAUGCAAGUCGAACGGUAACAGGUUAAGCUGACGAGUGGCGAACGGGUGAGUAAUGUAUCGGAACGUGCCCAGUUGUGGGGGAUAACUGCACGAAAGAGCAGCUAAUACCGCAUACGACCUGAGGGUGAAAGCGGGGGAUCGCAAGACCUCGCGCAAUUGGAGCGGCCGAUAUCAGAUUAGGUAGUUGGUGGGGUAAAGGCUCACCAAGCCGACGAUCUGUAGCUGGUCUGAGAGGACGACCAGCCACACGGGGACUGAGACACGGCCCGGACUCCUACGGGAGGCAGCAGUGGGGAAUUUUGGACAAUGGGCGCAAGCCUGAUCCAGCCAUGCCGCGUGCGGGAAGAAGGCCUUCGGGUUGUAAACCGCUUUUGUCAGGGAAGAAACGCUCUGGGUUAAUACCCUGGGGUAAUGACGGUACCUGAAGAAUAAGCACCGGCUAACUACGUGCCAGCAGCCGCCGUAA
rnacentral:rRNA from 1 species